UACAGAGGUCUCAAGCGUUUGUUCGGAUUCAUUGGGCGUAAAGGGUGCGUAGGCGGCGCGGUAAGUCGGGUGUGAAAUCUCGGAGCUUAACUCCGAAACUGCAUUCGAUACUGCCGUGCUUGAGGACUGGAGAGGAGACUGGAAUUUACGGUGUAGCGGUGAAAUGCGCAGAUAUCAGGAAGAACACCCGUGGCGAAGGCGGUUCUCUGGGACGGUACUGACGCUGGAGACGCGAAAGCGUGGGGGAGCGAACAGG
rnacentral:rRNA from 1 species